UUUAGCUGUUAGUCUUGCAGCCGGAUUUUCUGGUUCAGUUGCUGCUGCUCCUUCCCAUGCAUUUGAUACUGCAAAAAGUCGUGAUCAGUGCAAUGUUGUGCCUAAGCAUGUAUCCAUGGAGGAAAAGUUUUUCAAAUUGGGACUUCCUGGCAAGGAAUUUGAGAGAUGGACUGGAAUUCAUCCAGAAGACCGAAAAAUACUGUAUCGUGGCAUUUGGUUUCGGAUGGCACGCAGUGGAGUUGCAUCAUUCGUGCUCGUGUGAAGUUACUUUUAACAAUUGAUCAACUAUUCUCUUGAUUCAAAGAGUUCGACAUCUGCAGAACAGAUCAAAGGUUUGUUUUCUCCUUGCAUCAGAUUCAAUACAUAUGAAAAUGUUAUGCAAAGCAUUUUUUUUUUUUUUCCUUUCUAAUAUUCUUUUGGGUUUUCGUUAAUAAGAACUGAGAAACUUAGCUUUGGAUUUAAGUCUUGUGUUUUUAAUAAGCUAAUUAAAAAAUGAGUACCAAUGGAUUGAAACUUGAAA